rnacentral:rRNA from 1 species
GACGAACGCUGGCGGCGUGCUUAACACAUGCAAGUCGAGCGGAGCGGCGAACGGGUGAGUAACGCGUGAGUAACUGCCCCCCUCUCUGGGAUAACAGUUGGAAACGGCUGCUAAUACAGGAAAGUGGGGGUGGUAUGGCGUCCUAUCAGCUUGUUGGUGGGGUAUUGGCCUACCAAGGGGACGCCGGGUAGCCGGCCUGUGGGGGCGACCGGCCACAUUGGGCUGAGAUACGGGCCAAACUCCUACGGGGGGCAGCAGUGGGGAAUAGUGCACAAUGGGGGAAACCCUGAUGCAGCAACGCCGCGUGCGGGAUGACGGCCUUCGGGUUGUAAACCGCUUUCAGCCAUGACGCGGUAGUGGCAGAAGAAGCACCGGCUAACUACGUGCCAGCAGCCGCGGUAAUUC